rnacentral:rRNA from 1 species
GAUGAAUGUUGGCGGUGUGCCUGAGAUAUGCAAGUCGAACGUCUUUUUGCCGCAAGGCAGAAGGUAGUGGCGGACGGCUGAGUAACACAUAGGGGACUUACCCCUUUUUGAAGGAUAGCCCAUCGAAAGGUGGGAUAAUACUUCAUGGUAUGGAUACCGUAAGGUAUUUAUUAAAGAGAUUAACUUCUCGAAAAGGGAUGGACCUGUGGCUUAUCAGAUAGUUGGUGGGGUAACGGCCUACCAAGUCUACGACGAGUAGCUGGCCUGAGAAGGUGGUCAGCCAGAGGGGGACUGAGACACGGCCCCCACUCCUACGGGAGGCAG